GCAUAUCCAUAAGCGGAGGAAAAGAAACCAACAGGGAUUGCCCCAGUAACGGCGAGUGAAGCGGCAGCAGCUCAAAUUUGAAAUCUGGCCCCCCCCCGGGGGGGCCCGAGUUGUAAUUUGCAGAGGACGCUUCGGGCGCGGCGCCGGCCGAGUUCCUUGGAACAGGACGCCGUAGAGGGUGAGAGCCCCGUACGGCCGGACGCCUAGCCCGUGCGAAGCUCCUUCGACGAGUCGAGUAGUUUGGGAAUGCUGCUCAAAAUGGGAGGUAAAUUUCUUCUAAAGCUAAAUACCGGCCAGAGACCGAUAGCGCACAAGUAGAGUGAUCGAAAGAUGAAAAGCACUUUGAAAAGAGGGUUAAAGAGUACGUGAAAUUGUUGAAAGGGAAGCGCCUGUGGCCAGACGUGCCGCCCGCGGACCACCUGGCGCCCCCGCGCCAGGGCACGCCGCGGGCGCGCAGGCCAGCAUCGGCCUCCCCGGGGGGACAAAGGGCGCGGGAACGUAGCUCCUCAGGGAGUGUUAUAGACCGCGCCGCCAUGCCUCCGGGGGGGCCGAGGACCGCGCCUCCGGGCAAGGAUGCUGGCGUAAUGGCCACCAGCGACCCGUCUUGAAACACGGACCAAGGAGUCAAGCAUUGGGGCGAGUGUCUGGGUGCCAAACCCGCACGCGAAAUGAAAGUGAACGCAGGUGGGAGCCCCCCGCGGGCGCACCACCGACCGAUCCUGACGUCCUCGGAUGGAUUUGAGUAGGAGCCUCACCGCUUGGACCCGAAAGAUGGUGAACUAUGCCUGUAUAGGGUGAAGCCAGAGGAAACUCUGGUGGAGGCUCGCAGCGGUUCUGACGUGCAAAUCGAUCGUCAAAUAUGGGCAUGGGGGCGAAAGACUAAUCGAACCAUCUAGUAGCUGGUUACCGCCGAAGU
rnacentral:rRNA from 1 species